AGAGUUUGAUCACGGUUCAGAACGUACGCUGGCGGCACGCCUAACACAUGCAAGUCGAACGAAGUAGCAAUACUUAGUGGCAGACGGGUGAGUAACAUGUGGGUAUCUACCCUUUGGCCUGGAAUAACACGAGGAAACUUGUGCUAAUACCGGAUAAGUCUUUACGGAGAAAGCUUUAUGCACCAUUGGAUGAGCCCGCACUUGAUUAGUUUGUUGGUAGGGUAAUGGCCUACCAAGACUAUGAUCAAUAGCUGAUUUGAGAGGAUGAUCAGCCACAUUGGGACUGAGACACGGCCCAAACUCCUACGGGAGGCAGCAGUGGGGAAUCUUGCACAAUGGAGGAAACUCUGAUGCAGCGAUGCCGCGUGAGUGAAGAAGGCCUUUGGGUUGUAAAGCUCUUUCGUCGGGGAAGAAAAUGACUGUACCCGAAUAAGAAGGUCCGGCUAACUUCGUGCCAGCAGCCGCGGUAAUACGAAGGGACCUAGCGUAGUUCGGAAUUACUGGGCUUAAAGAGUUCGUAGGUGGUUGAAAAAGUUGGUGGUGAAAUCCCAGAGCUUAACUCUGGAACUGCCAUCAAAACUUUUCAGCUAGAGUAUGAUAGAGGAAAGCAGAAUUUCUAGUGUAGAGGUGAAACUCCGUAGGAUAUUAGGAAAGAAUACCAAUUUGCCGAAGGGCAGCUUCUGGAUCAUUACUUGACACUGAGGGAACGAAAGCAUGGGUAGCGAAGAGGAUUAGAUACCCUCGUAGUCCAUGCCGUAAACGAUGUGUGUUAGACGUUGGAAAUUUAUUUUCAGUGUCGCAGCGAAAGCAGUAAACACACCGCCUGGGGAGUACGACCGCAAGGUUAAAACUCAAAUGAAUUGACGGGGGCCCGCACAAGCGGUGGAGCAUGUGGUUUAAUUCGAAGCAACGCGCAGAACCUUACCAACCCUUGACAUCCCGGGACCGCCAGAGAGAUCUGGUUUUCACUUCGGUGACCCGGUGACAGGUGCUGCAUGGCUGUCGUCAGCUCGUGUCGUGAGAUGUUCGGUUAAGUCCGGCAACGAGCGCAACCCACAUCCUUAGUUGCCAGCAGUUCGGCUGGGCACUCUAAGGAAACUGCCCGUGAUAAGCGGGAGGAAGGUGUGGAUGACGUCAAGUCCUCAUGGCCCUUACGGGUUGGGCUACACACGUGCUACAAUGGCAGUGACAAUGGGUUAAUCCCAAAAAACUGUCUCAGUUCGGAUUGUCGUCUGCAACUCGGCGGCAUGAAGUCGGAAUCGCUAGUAAUCGCGUAACAGCAUGACGCGGUGAAUACGUUCCCGGGCCUUGUACACACCGCCCGUCACACCAUGGGAGUUGGGUUUACCCGAAGGCCGUGCGCCAACCUUUCGAGGAGGCAGCGGACCACGGUGAGCUCAGCGACUGGGGUGAAGUCGUAACAAGGUAGCCGUA
rnacentral:rRNA from 1 species